GCUGUGAGCACCAUGGCCUGGACUCCUCUGCUCCUCGCGCUCCUCUCUCACUGCACAGGGUCCCUCUCCCAGCCGGUGCUGACUCAGCUGCCCUCCCUCUCUGCAUCUCUGGGAGCCACAGCCAGACUCACCUGCACCCUGAGCAGUGGCUUCAGUGUUGGUGGUUACUGGAUAGCCUGGUACCAGCAUAAGCCAGGGAGCCGUCCCCGGUAUCUCCUGGAAUAUUAUUCAGACUCAAAUAAGAACCAGGGCUCCGGGGUCCCCAGCCGCUUCUCUGGAUCCAAAGACGCCUCGGCCAAUGCGGGGCUCCUGCUCAUCUCGGGGCUGCAGCCUGAGGACGAGGCUGACUAUUACUGUGCUACAUACCAUGGCAGUGGGAGUGGCCUUCAUUACUCACAGUGUCUCAGAUGA